CUAAGUCUAGUGGCGGACGGGUGAGUAACGCGUGGGUAACCUGCCUCACACUGGGGGAUAACAGUCAGAAAUGACUGCUAAUACCGCAUAAGCGCACAGCAUCGCAUGAUGCAGUGUGAAAAACUCCGGUGGUGUGAGAUGGACCCGCGUUGGAUUAGCUAGUUGGUGGGGUAACGGCCUACCAAGGCGACGAUCCAUAGCCGACCUGAGAGGGUGACCGGCCACAUUGGGACUGAGACACGGCCCAAACUCCUACGGGAGGCAGCAGUGGGGAAUAUUGCACAAUGGGCGCAAGCCUGAUGCAGCGACGCCGCGUGAGCGAAGAAGUAUUUCGGUAUGUAAAGCUCUAUCAGCAGGGAAGAAAAUGACGGUACCUGACUAAGAAGCUCCGGCUAAAUACGUGCCAGCAGCCGCGGUAAUACGUAUGGAGCAAGCGUUAUCCGGAUUUACUGGGUGUAAAGGGAGCGUAGACGGUUCUGUAAGUCUGAUGUGAAAACCCGGGGCUCAACCCCGGGACGGCAUUGGAAACUAUGCAACUAGAGUGUCGGAGAGGUAAGCGGAAUUCCUAGUGUAGCGGUGAAAUGCGUAGAUAUUAGGAGGAACACCAGUGGCGAAGGCGGCUUGCUGGACGACAACUGACGCUGAGGCGCGAAAGCGUGGGGAGCAAACAGGAUUAGAUACCCUGGUAGUCCACGCUGUAAACGAUGAAUACUAGGUGUGGGAGGACUGACCCCUUCCGUGCCGCAGUUAACACAAUAAGUAUUCCACCUGGGGAGUACGACCGCAAGGUUGAAACUCAAAGGAAUUGACGGGGGCCCGCACAAGCAGUGGAUUAUGUGGUUUAAUUCGACGCAACGCGAAGAACCUUACCAGGACUUGACAUCCUACUAACGAAGCAGAGAUGCAUUAGGUGCCCUUCGGGGAAAGUAGAGACAGGUGGUGCAUGGUUGUCGUCAGCUCGUGUCGUGAGAUGUUGGGUUAAGUCCCGCAACGAGCGCAACCCCUAUUGUGAGUUGCUACGAAAGAGCACUCUAGCGAGACUGCCGUUGACAAAACGGAGGAAGGCGGGGACGACGUCAAAUCAUCAUGCCCCUUAUGUCCUGGGCUACACACGUAAUACAAUGGCACUCAACAAAGGGAGGCAAAGCCGCGAGGUGGAGCAAACCCCCAAAAAGUGUCUCAGUUCGGAUUGCAGGCUGCAACUCGCCUGUAUGAAGCUGGAAUUGCUAGUAAUCGUGGAUCAGCAUGCCACGGUGAAUACGUUACCCGGGCCUUGCACUCACCGCCCGUCA
rnacentral:rRNA from 1 species